rnacentral:rRNA from 1 species
AUUGAACGCUGGCGGAAUGCUUUACACAUGCAAGUCGAACGGCAGCACGGACUUCGGUCUGGUGGCGAGUGGCGAACGGGUGGGUAACAUAUCGGAACGUAUCCAAUAAUGGGGGAUAACUAAUCGAAAGGUUGGCUAAUACCGCAUACGCCCUACGGGGGAACGCAGGGGAUCUUCGGCCCUUGCGUACAUGGAGCGGCUGAUAUCUGAUUAGCUAGUUGGUGAGGUAAAGGCUCACCAAGGCGACGAUCAGUAGCUGGUCUGAGAGGACGACCAGCCACACUGGAACUGAGACACGGUCCAGACUCCUACGGGAGGCAGCAGUGGGGAAUUUUGGACAAUGGGCGCAAGCCUGAUCCAGCCAUUCCGCGCGAGUGAAGAAGGCCUUCGGGUUGUAAAGCUCUUUCGCAAGGGAAGAAAACUUACUUUCUAAUAAAGAGUGAGGUUGACGGUACCUUGAUAAGAAGCACCGGCUAACUACGUGCCAGCCGCCGCGGUAA